rnacentral:rRNA from 1 species
GACGAACGCUGGCGGCGUGCUUAACACAUGCAAGUCGAACGGAAAGGCCCUGCUUUUGUGGGGUGCUCGAGUGGCGAACGGGUGAGUAACACGUGAGUAACCUGCCCUUGACUUUGGGAUAACUUCAGGAAACUGGGGCUAAUACCGGAUAGGAGCUCCUGCUGCAUGGUGGGGGUUGGAAAGUUUCGGCGGUUGGGGAUGGACUCGCGGCUUAUCAGCUUGUUGGUGGGGUAGUGGCUUACCAAGGCUUUGACGGGUAGCCGGCCUGAGAGGGUGACCGGCCACAUUGGGACUGAGAUACGGCCCAGACUCCUACGGGAGGCAGCAGUGGGGAAUAUUGCACAAUGGGCGGAAGCCUGAUGCAGCAACGCCGCGUGCGGGAUGACGGCCUUCGGGUUGUAAACCGCUUUCGCUUGUGACGAAGCGUGGGUGACGGUAAUGGGUAAAGAAGCACCGGCUAACUACGU